rnacentral:rRNA from 1 species
GUAACGGCGAGUGAAGCGGUAACAGCUCAAUUUGAAAGCUAGCUCUUUUAGGGUUCGCAUUGUAAUUUGUAGAAGAUGUUUCGGGUGUGGCCCCGGUCUAAGUUCCUUGGAACAGGACGUCAUAGAGGGUGAGAAUCCCGUAUGUGACUGGGUGCUUUCGCUCAUGUGAAACUCUUUCGACGAGUCGAGUUGUUUGGGAAUGCAGCUCAAAAUGGGUGGUAUAUUUCAUCUAAAGCUAAAUAUCGGCCAGAGACCGAUAGCGCACAAGUAGAGUGAUCGAAAGAUGAAAAGCACUUUGGAAAGAGAGUUAAACAGUACGUGAAAUUGUUGAAAGGGAAGCGCUUGCAACCAGACUUGCGCGCUGACGAUCAUCCGGGCUUCUGUCCGGUGCACUCGUCUGCGCUCAGGCCAGCAUCGGUUUCGGUGGUGGGAUAAAGGCCUUGGGAAUGUAGCUCCUCUCGGGGAGUGUUAUAGCCCUCGGUGCAAUGCCGCCUACCGGGACCGAGGACCGCGCUUCGGCUAGGAUGCUGGCGUAAUGGUUGUAAGCGACCCGUCUUGAAACACGGACCAAGGAGUCUAACAUCUAUGCGAGUGUUUGGGUGUCAAACCCAUACGCGUAAUGAAAGUGAACGGAGGUGAGAACCCUUUAGGGUGCAUCAUCGACCGAUCCUGAUGUCUUCGGAUGGAUUUGAGUAAGAGCAUAGCUGUUGGGACCCGAAAGAUGGUGAACUAUGCGUGAAUAGGGUGAAGCCAGAGGAAACUCUGGUGGAGGCUCGCAGCGGUUCUGACGUGCAAAUCGAUCGUCAAAUUUGCGUAUAGGGGCGAAAGACUAAUCGAACCAUUGGGAAUGAACUACUAGGUGGUUGAGAGGCGGCUGAAAGGCCCGCCUAGUCCUGUUACGACAGGGCGACACUAUCAAAUUGUUCGGGGACGUCCUGUUAAAUCUCAAGCUACCGCAGCCGGUCCGAAAGGACGGUGCGCACCGGGUUAACGACCCCGGGGAUGGUAAGAACGCUUGGGUAGGGAUUAUCCGCAGCCAACCUCUAAGGGGCGUCUGCCCUAUGAGAAAGGUCCACAGACUUAACGAUAGUGGGCUCGCGCGAGCUUAAGAUAAAGUCGAACCCCCGGGAG